AUAACAAUAAAAACCGUUUUCUCUCCCGUUGCCCCACCAGGAUGGUGGGGAUUUUGU
rnacentral:sRNA from 1 species